CCACAGCACACACAUUUAACAACAAACAAAAUGACAGAAAAUAUCGAUUCUCCACAAAUAAGUAAUAAUUGAUGACGAACCAUUGAAUUAUUAUAAAAAUAAUGUGCACCGGAGGUGGUAAUACGACCACGAGGCGAAGAGGAGGAUUGAGCCAUUGACAUGCAGUUAUUAUGGGUAGCAAAAUGCCUCCAGCACCAGAAGAUUUGCCAUUACAUUCAAGAAACCACCUUCCUCCUACAAUUUCAUCUGGAACCUCAGCAAAUCCAAAAGAUGUUCAUGCUUUAAUACACAGGGUAAAGGGUGUAGAAGAUCUUUUGGCUGUGUUCAUGGAUAGCAG
ensembl:lncRNA